rnacentral:rRNA from 1 species
UGCAAGUCGAGCGGACCGACGGGAGCUUGCUCCCUUAGGUCAGCGGCGGACGGGUGAGUAACACGUGGGUAACCUGCCUGUAAGACUGGGAUAACUCCGGGAAACCGGGGCUAAUACCGGAUGCUUGAUUGAACCGCAUGGUUCAAUCAUAAAAGGUGGCUUUUAGCUACCACUUACAGAUGGACCCGCGGCGCAUUAGCUAGUUGGUGAGGUAACGGCUCACCAAGGCGACGAUGCGUAGCCGACCUGAGAGGGUGAUCGGCCACACUGGGACUGAGACACGGCCCAGACUCCUACGGGAGGCAGCAGUAGGGAAUCUUCCGCAAUGGACGAAAUCUGACGGAGCAACGCCGCGUGAGUGAUGAAGGUUUUCGGAUCGUAAAACUCUGUUGUUAGGGAAGAACAAGUACCGUUCGAAUAGGGCGGUACCUUGACGGUACCUAACCAGAAAGCCACGGCUAACUACGUGCCAGCAGCCGCGGUAAUACGUAGGUGGCAAGCGUUGUCCGGAAUUAUUGGGCGUAAAGCGCGCGCAGGCGGUUUCUUAAGUCUGAUGUGAAAGCCCCCGGCUCAACCGGGGAGGGUCAUUGGAAACUGGGGAACUUGAGUGCAGAAGAGGAGAGUGGAAUUCCACGUGUAGCGGUGAAAUGCGUAGAGAUGUGGAGGAACACCAGUGGCGAAGGCGACUCUCUGGUCUGUAACUGACGCUGAGGCGCGAAAGCGUGGGGAGCGAACAGGAUUAGAUACCCUGGUAGUCCACGCCGUAAACGAUGAGUGCUAAGUGUUAAAGGGUUUCCGCCCUUUAGUGCUGCAGCAAACGCAUUAAGCACUCCGCCUGGGGAGUACGGUCGCAAGACUGAAACUCAAAGGAAUUGACGGGGGCCCGCACAAGCGGUGGAACAUGUGGUUUAAUUCGAACNAACCCGAAAAACCUUAC